rnacentral:rRNA from 1 species
AAACCUACGGGGGGCAGCAGUGGGGAAUAUUAGGCAAUGGGCGAAAGCCUGACCCAGCAACGCCGCGUGAAGGAAGAAGGCUUUCGGGUUGUAAACUUCUUUUGACAGGGAAGAGCAGAAGACGGUACCUGUCGAACAAGCCACGGCUAACUACGUGCCAGCAGUCGCGGUAAUACGUAGGUGGCAAGCGUUGUCCGGAUUUACUGGGUGUAAAGGGCGUGUAGCCGGGCUGACAAGUCAGAUGUGAAAUCCGGGGGCCCAACCCCCGAACUCCAUUUGAAACUGUUGGUCUUGAGUAUCGGAGG